UCCUCGAGAUAGGACCCAAUCAGCCGGCGA
rnacentral:sRNA from 1 species